UACGAAGGUGGCAAGCGUUGUUCGGAUUUACUGGGCGUAAAGGGCGCGUAGGCGGCCCUCCUAGUCGCGUAUGAAAGCCCCGGGGCUCAACCUGGGGAAUUGCGCGCGAAACGGGGGGGGCUUGAGUUCGGGAGAGGAGCGUGGAAUUCCCAGUGUAGAGGUGAAAUUCGUAGAUAUUGGGAAGAACACCGGGUGGCGAAGGCGGCGCUCUGGACCGAGACUGACGCUGAGGCGCGAAAGCGUGGGGAGCAAACAGG
rnacentral:rRNA from 1 species